AACGAACGCUGGCGGCAUGCCUAACACAUGCCAGUCGAACGAGACCUUCGGGUCUAGGGGCGCACGGGUGCGUAACGCGGGGGAACCUGCCCUUAGGUUCGGAAUAACUCCCCGAAAGGGGUGCUAAUACCGGAUAAUGUCUUCGGACCAAAGAGUUAUCGCCUUUGGAUGGGCCCGCGUUGGAUUAGCUAGUUGGUAGGGUAAAAGCCUACCAAGGCGACGAUCCAUAGCUGGUCGGAGAGGAUGAUCCUCCACACUGGGACUGCGACCCGGCCCAGAAUGCGACGGGAGGGAGCAGUGGGGAAUAUUGGACAAUGGGCGCAAGCCUGACACAGCCAUGCCGCGUGAGUGAUGAAGGCCUUAGGGUUGUAAAGCUCUUUUACCCGGGAUGAUAAUGACAGUACCGGGAGAAUAAGCACCGGCUAACUCCGUG
rnacentral:rRNA from 1 species